UACAGCCACAUCAUGUUGAAACACUGGUUCCUUUACAAUCGCUGAAGUUAAGCAAUGCUGAGCCUGUUCAGUAUCUUGAUGGGUGACCACUUAGAAUACCAGGUGCUGUCAG